rnacentral:rRNA from 1 species
GACGAACGCUGGCGGCGUGCCUAAUACAUGCAAGUCGAACGCUUUUUCUUUCACCGGAGCUUGCUCCACCGAAAGAAAAAGAGUGGCGAACGGGUGAGUAACACGUGGGUAACCUGCCCAUCAGAAGGGGAUAACACUUGGAAACAGGUGCUAAUACCGUAUAACACUAUUUUCCGCAUGGAAGAAAGUUGAAAGGCGCUUUUGCGUCACUGAUGGAUGGACCCGCGGUGCAUUAGCUAGUUGGUGAGGUAACGGCUCACCAAGGCAACGAUGCAUAGCCGACCUGAGAGGGGGAGCGGCCACACUGGGACUGAGACACGGCCCAGACUCCUACGGGAGGUAGCAGUAGGGAAGCUUCGGCAAUGGACGAAAGUCUGACCGAGCAACGCCGCGUGAGUGAAGAAGGUUUUCGGAUCGUAAAACUCUGUUGUUAGAGAAGAACAAGGAUGAGAGUAAAACGUUCAUCCCUUGACGGUAUCUAAUCAGAAAGCCACGGCUAACUACGUGCCAGCAGCCGCCGUAA